UGCAGAGAAUUUUGGGUUUCUUUGCCAAAAUUAUUCCAAAUGCCUUAAACUACGAAGAAGUGAAAAUAUUGCCAAAACUUGGUACAUGAUCAUGUACAUGUACUGGAACCAUUAUGUGAAGCCAACAUAUCAACAAGAAUCAAAAUCAAAAGAAAACAUGUUAUUCUGGAAAUAUGUUUGCUAAAGAACAUAUUGACUGGCCUAAAGAGAAGUUGCUAACCUUAACCCAUUGUAUGGACUAAUGAUACCAGGAUUAUUUGUUUUAUCUAAAGCCAAAUGGCCAACCCUAACCCGAGCAGUUACUGAGCUCUCUACUGCAACUCCAGCUACCGUUUCACCUAAUUUAACACACCCAGACAUGUGACUCGCAUGUUUGUUCUCCACUGCUUUGUCAGCUUGAUAUUAUGAUCCAGGAUUGUAAGAGUAAACCAUAACUGUUUACCUCUCAAAACCUGAAGGUCAUAUUUACUUGAUCUUGCUUUUAUAAUUGAAAAUGUACAACUUCAUAUGAAAGGGCUUGCAUAAAUAUAUAUUUACAAAUAGGUUUUUUAACCAUUUUAACAUGGUAAACAGAGAUAAUUGAGUAUUUUUAAAGACACAUCUGCCUUAUAUGUUAUUUUUACAGAUUAUUGUAAAAAUUCAUAAUUCACAUGUAAGUAAUUGGAUCCUUUACCAGGAGGUCUAGUGCUAAAUACAGUCAUAUGAAAAAGUUUGGGCACCCCUAUUAAUCUUAAUCAUUUUUAUUUUUAAAUAUUUGGGUGUUUGCAACAGCUAUUUCAGUUUGAUACAACCAAUAACUUAUGGACACAAUAAUAUUUCAGUAUUGAAAUGAGGUUUACUGGACUGAAAAAAAAAAAAAAAGUGCAGUACGCAUUAACACAAAAUUUGACAGGUGCAAUAGUAUGGGCACCUCAACAGAAAAGUGACUAAUAUUUAGUAGAUCCUCAUUUUGCAAAAAUACCAGCCUCUAGUCACUUCUUACAGCUUUUAAUGAGUUUGAUGGUCGCUGAGCAUGGACAACCCGCUUCAAAUCAUCCCACAGAUGCUCAAUGAUAUUCAGGUGUGGGGACUGGGAUGGCCAAUCCAGAACAUUGUAAUUGUACAUCUGCAUGAAUGGCUGAGUAGAUUUGGAGCGGUGUUUUGGAUCAUUGUCUUGCUGAAAUAUCCAUCCCCGGCGUAACUUCAACUUUGUAACUGAUUCUUGAACAUUAAUCUCAAGAAUCUGUUGAUAUAGAGUGGAAUCCAUGCGACCCUCAACUUUAACAAGAUUCCCACUGGCCACACAGCCCCAAAGCAUGAUGGGACCUCCACCAAAUUUAACAGUGGGUAGCAAGUGUUUUUCUUGGAAUGCUGUGUUUUUUUUCCAUUAUGCAUAACGCCUUUUUUUUUUAUGACCAAACAACUCAAUCUUUGUUUCAU